UGGCGAACGGGUGAGUAACACGUGAGUAACCUGCCCUUGGCUUUGUGAUAACUUCAGGAAACUGGGGCUAAUACCGGAUAGGAGCUCCUGCUGCAUGGUGGGGUUGGAAAGUUUCGGCUGUUGGGGAUGGACUCGCGGCUUAUCAGCUUGUUGGUGGGGUAGUGGCUUACCGAGGCUUUGACUGGUAGCCGGCCUGAGAGGGUGACCGGCCACAUUGGGACUGAGAUACGGCCCAG
rnacentral:rRNA from 1 species